rnacentral:SRP_RNA from 1 species
GCCAGGUGUGGUGGCACGCACCUGUAAUCCCAGCUACUCAGGAGGCUGAGGCAGGAGAAUCGCUUGAACCUGGGAGGCAGAGGUUGCAGUGAGCUGUGAUUAUGCCACUGCACUUCAGCCUAGGUGACAGAGCGAGACUCUGUCUCAG